AUGGCACGCCUCAUCGAGACCGACCGGAAGCGGCGGCUGGCCUUCACGACCCGGAGGAGGGGGCUGCUGGACAAGGCGAGGCAGCUCGCGGCGCUCUGCGGGGUCGCCGUCACGGUCGUCUGCACCGACCCCGAGGGCGGCGCGCUGACUGUGAUGGAGACGGAGGAGGGUGUCCCCGCUCUGAUGGACAACGAGCGGAAGCGGGGCCUGGCCUUCAGGAACCGGAGGAGGGGGCUGCUGGAGAAGGCCGAGCAGCUCGCAGCGCUCUGCGGGGCCCAGGUCGCGGUUGUCUGCGCCGACCCCUGGGGCGGUGCGCCGACUGUGAUGGAGACGGAGGCCGGCGUCCUCGCCAGAGCCUACUAG
rnacentral:rRNA from 1 species